UGCGUUUUCAUCUUUAAAAAGCGUAUUUCUCGUUUUGCGCCUCUGCCUUAUCCACUCAGGGUCCCGUCUGUGAAUAUUCUUUUUACAGAAAACUCCCUGAACUUCUACACCUCAUAACUCCGCAACCGUAACUCCGAUUAAGGUGAAUCCAACGCCUACUCCUUCGUCUCUUCGAGCCCAAACUUUUGGUACUAGUUUCAGUAUGUUUCAACAUUCUUAAAAUGACCAUUUUUCCCUUACGCUAAAUCAGCCCCCUCCGAGCGCGCACCCUUUCCGGCGAUUCUUUCCGUGGUCGUUCCGCACUUCUUCCCGGAGCCUUCUUCAUUCCCAAGCAAGCCACAACCACCAUUUGCAUGAUAGUCAUGCAGAAGCAUUGGUUUCCAACUUGAAUCUUUAAUAACUGUUUGAUUGUUUUGCUCCUACUGUCGUUAUUUCUGUUAUGCUUAUGGAUCGGUGUUUACCGUCAUGUUUUCUUGCACUCUGUUAUAAUGUUCUUCAUGUUAGUAUUACUUUAAUAUUGGCAAUGUUUGGUAAUAGUACAUGUUGGUGAUGGUCUUCGGUGCAUGACUAUCGUCUGUCCCAAGUACCGUUGUUAUGCAUGCUCCUUUGCACCCAGUUGGUUACAUGCUUGCAUGGUAGUUUAUCGUUAUCUUAUUGCAUGGUAUUUAUUGUUGAUGCUAGUGGUCAUGUUAUGCUAUGAGUAGUGUUCUAGUUUUGAUAGUCAUGCUCGUCCGUAUGCCAUGCUCAUCUGGAUAAAUGAUUAAAUGUUGUUGUUAUGCUCGUUGAUUAUGUUGCACCUCCAUGCUUAUUUUGAUAUCAUGUUCAUGCAUCAUGUUAUUUUAUCAUGGCUCAGCAUAUUGCAUUCAAGUUUAACCAAAUUAAAUUGAACUUGAACAACUGUUGGCUGAGUCAUGGUGCCACCAUAUCGAUCUGACCAGUGCAACCACGCUUACCCUAUGGGGGGGGUCCUAACUGGGUCUAUUGUCAUGCCUCUCACCGGUGCCUCCCGUGAGGGAAGGUUAUGCGCGGGCGCUACCCUGAUCAGGUAGGACGGCAUACGCCUUUUGUGCCUGUUGUUGAGUAUGGAUCCUUGUCCCCGUUUAGGACUGUUUUGCCACGACGGUUGCUGUUGGUGCCUUUGGUAGGCACGGGGCCCACCCAGGACUUAGCCCAAAGGGGAGUUGGUCGGAGUGGCCGAGAGAGUGCCAUGGCAGUAGGACGGUUUCGUCGGAACGCUUUGGUCCACCCGAACGGGAGUGCGAGGCCAGCGUUCCGUGGUGCGGGUACAAUGUGCUAACCUGUGCAGAGUGUGUGUGUGUGUGUGUUAAAACUAUCGAUACCCACGCCCGCGGAUAUGGGCCCAGUUCAUAGUUGGUCACAUUAUGAGUCAACAGUAAUAAUAAUGUGCUUAAUAACAACCGUGGUUCAAUGAUGAAAGAAGUUGGUUGAUAUUUAUGUGAUCAUAAGAGGAUCGCUGUGGUAUUGUGAAUACCGACUUGUUGGAUAAUUGUGGUGUUAUGCGAGAGUCAAGGGUAAAAGUCAAGCUCCUUGUGGUCAUAAAUUAUUACUGCGGUAUUGUUAAUACCAAGCUUGAUUGGAUCCUGAGAUAAUUGUGUGAUGUCCGUCAUGGUAAGUUUGUGCAGGUGAUGGUUACGAGAUAACCCGAGCAGAGUAAAUUGGUGCAUGAAAGUCUCAUCAUGUUGCAUGCUAGUCUCAUCAUGUUCUUAUAUGAUCGUAUUGUUCUAGUUGUAUCAUGUUAUUCAUGCCAUCUUGUUCUGAUAGUAUCGUGUUCCUCAUUGUUUAAUAAUCUAUAACUGCCAUGAUAUUGUUUGUCUUGAUUGCUUUGGUUGCUGUGAGCUUGCAAGUACAUUCAAUGUACUGACUGGCGUGUCAUGCUAGUUUGCAGGUCAUGCCAGACUUGAUUGCUUGUUUGCCAUGGAUUCCUUGUUUGAGAGCUAGGAUAAGCGUUCCAGCCAGAGUCCCUAUGGAGUGGAGUUCACCACCGUCAUUGUUGUUCCGCUGCUAGAGUCAUUCUGCUGCAUCGAGUUGUUAUGCUGCUUGCAUGGAGCAACCGUGGCAUGUGUAGUUUCGCCGUGCCAAUGUAAACCCCUUGUACCCAUAUAGAUUGUAAUAAAGAGCUGAGUUGUUCUAUCCUAAGCAGUGCCAUAUUCCAGAUGACUUCUCCUUGAUCUCUGGGCUGGAAUACGGGCCGUUCCGGUUUCUCUGAGCCGGGGUGGCACAGUAACAACUGAGUGUUCUCACUAUCUUCCAUCCUAGACACAUUAUAGGUGGUUCCCAAGCCGAAUGGUAAAGUUUUUACUUCCCCUCCACCAACAAUCACACUCCAUGGCUGAUCUGAAACAACGGGUACCGUCCAUACUAAUUACUUGCAAUUUUUUUGAUCUUUU
rnacentral:lncRNA from 1 species